rnacentral:rRNA from 1 species
GUCGAGAAUCUUUCACAAUGGGGGCAACCCUGAUGGAGCGACGCCGCGUGGAGGAUAAGGUCUUCGGAUUGUAAACUCCUGUCAUGCGUGAACAAGGUUGCUUGGUUAAUACCUGGGCAAAUUGAUGGUAACGCAAGAGGAAGAGACGGCUAACUCUGUGCCAGCAGCCGCGGUAAUACAGAGGUCUCAAGCGUUGUUCGGAAUCACUGGGCGUAAAGGGUGCGUAGGUGGCGUGGUAAGUCAGAUGUGAAAGCCCGGGGCUCAACCUCGGAACUGCAUCCGAUACUGCCAUGCUAGAGUACUGGAGAGGUGACUAGAAUUCUCGGUGUAGCAGUGAAAUGCGGAGAUAUCGAGAGGAAUACCAAAGGCGUAGGCAGGUCACUGGACAGUUACUGACACUGAGGCACGAAGGCCAGGGGAGCGAACGGGAUUAGAUACCCGAGUAGUCC